AUUGAACGCUGGCGGCAGGCCUAACACAUGCAAGUCGAGCGAGAGGCGGACGGGUGAGUAAUGUCUGGGAAACUGCCUGAUGGAGGGGGAUAACUACUGGAAACGGUAGCUAAUACCGCAUACCAUCAGAUGUGCCUACAUGGGAUUAGCUAGUCGGGGGGGUAACGGCUCACCUGGGCGACGAUCCCUAGCUGGUCUGAGAGGAUGACCAGCCACACUGGAACUGAGACACGGUCCAGAAUCCUACGGGAGGCAGCAGUGGGGAAUAUUGAACAAUGGGCGCAAGCCUGAUGCAGCCAUGCCGCGUGUGUUAAGAAGGCCUUCGGGUUGUAAAGCACUUUCAGCGGGGAGGCGUUACCCGCAGAAGAAGCACCGGCUAACUCCGUGCCAGCAGCCGCGGUAAUUC
rnacentral:rRNA from 1 species